GGGGGAUAUUGCACAAUGGACGGAAGUCUGAUGCAGCGACGCCGCGUGGGGGAUGAAGGCUUUCGGGUUGUAAACCUCUUUUAUUCCUGAACAAGGCUUGGAUUGUUGUCUGGGUUGAGGGUAGGGGGUGAAUAAGCGCCGGCUAACUACGUGCCAGCAGCCGCGGUAAUACGUAGGGCGCGAGCGUUGUCCGGAUUUAUUGGGCGUAAAGAGCUCGUAGGCGGUUUGUUGCGUCUGCUGUGAAAACGCGGGGCUUAACUUCGCGCGUGCAGUGGGUACGGGCAGGCUAGAGUGCGGUAGGGGAGAUUGGAAUUCCUGGUGUAGCGGUGGAAUGCGCAGAGAUUUGGAGGAACACCAGUGGCGAAGGCGACUUUCUGGUCUGCAACUGACGCUGAGGCGCGAAAGCAUGGGGAGCAAACA
rnacentral:rRNA from 1 species